CUCUUUUCUUUUUUCCCAUCUCUUGGCUCGUAUCUCUCUCUCUCUUUCUCCGGCUCUCCUUCCGUCACUGUUAUCAAACAAACAAAAAACAGAACCCAUCUUCUAUCACUGCCUAAGUAUCACCACUAUCUCUCUUUCAAAUGUCGUCUGAUUCUUCUCUCAGACAGCAAAUUGAAGGUCCGUCAUUACCAAUCGACCAACUUCAAGCCCAAUCGCGAACACAAACUCAUCCCUUUGGGAUUCCCGACAUCUACAGAUUUCUUUGAUGCUUAAUCAAUGGGUUAAUUUUUCAGAGUACAUGACUUAGUCAUUGCAAAUCGAUGGCACUAAAAAGGAGAAAGCUCCAGUACCACCUUCAAAGCAAGCUAAAUCUGGCGGUGGUAAACAAAGAAGAAGAAGUGGAGCAAAGUAUAGCAUAAGCAGAAGGUUAACAACAUGGUCGUUUGAUCAAGAUAAGGUUUAUUUUGUGAAUUUUUUUCUAAGAUUACAAAUUAUAUUAUCGCACAGGUAGGAGGUUUUCUGCUAUUUUUAUGCCUAGCUUUCAAUUAUGCCAACAGUCAAUGAAAUGUUUGAUGAGUUUUUGUUGUAGUUGUCGAGAGCAAAAGAAAAUGAAUUUCCUUUUGUACCUAUGCUAAUGUUUUAUGAUUGGGUCGACCCUUAGUGAAAUUUUGAUUCUUGAUACCUCGUGUCAAUCCUGUCGAUUUAAGGAAAAAUCCCAUUCCUUCAAAAACAUGCUCUAACUCCAUUAUGGUGUUUUGUUUCGAACUUUUGUGAUAAAAUUCUUAAUCCAGUUUUACUUGUUUUCCCUCAUGGUAAGAAGAAAAUUUUCUUUAGAAUAUGGAAAUGCCGUAUUAAUUUUAGGUACUAUAAUAUAGAGUAUUUGCUUGUUAUCUUGAAUUUCGGCACAGACUUCUACAAAAGGAAGGAUUGGAUACUUUAGAUGGCACCGACUUUUGCCAUCUAAAGUAAGUUAUGUUUUUUAGAUAAUGAACCAAAUGCAUGAUUAAAUGUACAAUCAAGUGACUGAAUGUACCGUUAAUCUAAAUGUUCGGAAAUUCUAUUCUUAGUCUUAUAGCUUCUCACAUGGUAACCAGCAAUCCAGACUUACACUCAUCAUUCACAUAACUGUUCUGAAUCUCUCUUCUACCUAAUCAUCCCCCAAUUUUGUUUAACCAAACCUUUCUGCAACCUUAAUCCACUUACACCUCUAGAGAGUAAGUGGUAGCAGCAAGAAGAAUAAGUAUCCACAUGCUCUAUGAAGAAACAUUCAGAAAGGAGAGUAUAAGCAAACCCAUCUUUUUAUUUUAAGGAUAGCAUUAGUUGGUUGGAAUUUCUCGUGCAAUAUAAAAUGUGAGUUGGAUGUUAUGCCCUUCUCGUUUCCUUAGACCUGCUUUUAUUUGUAGAGUUAAUCUAAAGUUCCCCUGAUGUGUUGGUCUGGAGAAAUUGAGAUCCAAACCUUUUAUGAUACCCUCACUAAAGGAACGUGUGGAGUUGUUUGGAUUUCUGAUGAAGCCUGCAUUAGAUGGAUAAGUAGACAUUAUUAGUGUUUAUUUGUGUUGUCUGUGUCUAAGCUAAUAGGAUUCAGAAACUCAUCCAAUCAAUAUUUGUUAUCUUUUCUUAGUUAUUAUGUUUUAUAUCAUUAGAAUUACCUACCUGUUUGACAUUCUGGUGCACUUGCUAAUUUUUUACUCUACCGUGUAUCUUUAUAUAGGAAACGAUGAAUGAGCUAUUGCAGCAAGGAGGGAGCUCCACCGCCCACUGAGGAUGAAUGAGCUAUUGCAGCAAGGAGGGAGCUCCACCACCCACUGAGGCAGAAGUAUGUGCUCAAGUUUUGAAGAGAAAGCGAAGACGAUGAUGUGCUACAACCACUGCUGAUUCUAACAGUGAAGGACUUCAAGCAAUGAUACAAGCGCAGGCUGACCAAAUAUGUGCAAAAAAUGAGAUUUUUAAAAAGCUGAAAGAAGAUAAUGAAAAGUUCACACAAAACAUGCAGAGAAUCUGAUGGGUACACUCGGGCUAAGUAACAGUACGGCUGAUGGAUCAACUUAAUCUUGAAUGUUGGACCAGUUGUUGCUUGUCACAUUAAUGUUUUAGAUUAUUCUUGGUAUUAUUUUUGUACUUGCAGGUGUUUUUUAGUUUGUAUAUUAGUUCAACAAUUUUUUUAAUGGCUAAUUAUUUUUAUUCAA